rnacentral:rRNA from 1 species
GACGAACGCUGGCGGCGUGCUUAACACAUGCAAGUCGAACGGAAAGGCCCUGCUUUUGUGGGGUGCUCGAGUGGCGAACGGGUGAGUAACACGUGAGUAACCUGCCCUUGACUUUGGGAUAACUUCAGGAAACUGGGGCUAAUACCGGAUAGGAGCUCCUGCUGCAUGGUGGGGGUUGGAAAGUUUCGGCGGUUGGGGAUGGACUCGCGGCUUAUCAGCUUGUUGGUGGGGUAGUGGCUUACCAAGGCUUUGACGGGUAGCCGGCAUGAGAGGGUGACCGGCCACAUUGGGACUGAGAUACGGCCCAGACUCGUACGGGAGGCAGCAGUGGGGAAUCUUGCACAAUGGGCGGAAGCCUGAUGCAGCAACGCCGCGUGCGGGAUGACGGCCUUCGGGUUGUAAACCGCUUUCGCCUGUGACGAAGCGUGAGUGACGGUACUGGGUAAAGAAGCACCGGCUAACUACGUG